GAAUUCUCUUGUCAUACUGCUUUGUUGACGCUUCUUAUUGGAUUUGCUUCUUGCUCGAGUGUUAAAUGUCUGGCCUUGUUAUUUGUUGAUUUCGUUUCUUACCUGUAAUUUUGCUGUUCUCGCGAUUGUAGUUGUUUUGUCUCUAAAGCUUGUAUAUUACUUUAUUUUGAGGAAGAAACUAUUUCGCUGAAAUAAACAAAAUAGGGGAGAGGAAAGCUUCAACUUGAGUUCUGGAAGCUACAAUUAAAACCUUCCAAUUAGGGAGAGAAGAAAAAUCGUGGUUACGGAAGAUCUGGAUGGAUCAAGAAAGAGUGAGAAAGAGCCAUAUGAUCCUGCAAAACAGAAAACAAUCGUCCAUCUCAUUAAAAAUGUUCUAUGGUUUCUUUGAAGCUAUAAAAUCCAAAAGGAAGCAGACAUGAAUUAGAUUCAUCUUCAUCCAGAUAGUCUUGACUUCAGCUUUGAAAGGUUUAUCAUCAAAACAGUAUAUACAGUAAGUUAACGAUAUUACUGAGAAGAGCUACUUGUCAAUUGAAAGAAUAAAAAAAUGUGCUAUAAUUUAGAAGCCAUCAAAGAAAAGAUGAAAAGGCGGUCUUGAGUUUUUUGGUUUUACUGCACAGCAUAUCAGUUUGGAGAGAUAUCUUUUGGUAUUCUUACAUUGGCACUUUAUCACAAGUACUAGUGCUAUUCGAAAGAAGCUUCCAUAGGAGAUCUUGACCAUCCUUGGAUAGGAAUUUUUCCAAAUCCUGUUGAAAAAUCGGCAAUCAAGGACUUUGGAUUAUGUUGAGGGGGUGAAGAAGUAGCCCAUCAGUCACCUUAGUUUAACCCUAUUGAGAGAUCGCAACCACUUCCCUCC
rnacentral:lncRNA from 1 species